UCCUGGGUGGCUCAGUGGGUAAAGAAUCUGCUUGCAGUGCAGGAGAUGCAGGUUCAAUCCCUGGGUCAGGAA
rnacentral:tRNA from 1 species